rnacentral:lncRNA from 1 species
ACACAGGGGUCUUUCUGUGAGGGUGUUUCGACGAGCUGGGCGGUUUGUUCCUUCAUCGCAUUCGUUAACAGGUCAAAAUGCAAAUCUUCGUGAAGACCCUGACCGGCAAGACCAUCACCCUGGAGGUGGAGCCCAGUGACACCAUCGAGAACGUGAAGGCCAAGAUCCAGGAUAAAGAGGGCAUCCCCCCUGACCAGCAGAGGCUCAUCUUUGCCGGCAAGCAGCUGGAAGAUGGCCGCACCCUCUCUGAUUACAACAUCCAGAAAGAGUCAACCCUGCACCUGGUCCUCCGCCUGAGGGGUGGCUAUUAAUUCUUCAGUCUGCAUUCCCGGCGGGCACUGAUGGCAUUACUCUGCACUCUAGCCAUUUGCCCCAAUUUAAGUUUAGAAAUUACAAGUUUCAGUAAUAGCUGAACCUCUGUUAAAAAUGUUAAUAAAGGUUUUGUUGCAUGGUAAGCAUAAAAAAAAAAAAAAAAAAAAAAAGAUGAC